AUGCCCUUGGUCAAGUGAAGUCAUAUGCUUGAAUACCAUGAUUCCAUGGACGCAAGGAAGAUGGAGUCACAUUCCUCGUCUCUGGAAUGUAGUCUUGAUUUGGGUAGGUAGUUUGUUUUUUUCAUCUGAGAUUUUAAAGUAGUUCAAAGGUUGAACUUUUAGAAUUGACGAUUUGGAAGAUCACAUUGUCAUUUUGCUGGUAGUCUUUAAUAUGGGUACAAUUUACCAGCAAGACAGGUGCACUCUCUCUCUCUCUCUCUCAAGUUAACUGUGCAGGCAAAUGGUUAUCUAGCACCAGGAUCAGGUAGGGCAUGAAGGGAUGCUGCAGCUCGUGCCAUGGAUGGUGGCACGUCCAGCGUCUAUUUGGUUAUGAUGAAGUUGGUGAGCCUACUAUUAAGGUUCAGUAAAACAAAAGAGACCAACAGAGGAGGUGCAUUCCGUGAAAGUUGCACGUAUUGGAACGGCUAACCAGUUAACCUCUGAUCAUGUCUAAUGUCUAUAUUUUUAUGGCAAAAGGAGCUGGCGACAACGGUUGUUGAUGCUGCCACCCCUGUUGAUUGGGUGAAGAUAGCAGGAAACUGUCAGUUUCUCUUGGAUGAAAUAGUUCUAUAUCCUCGAGUUUCCUCCAUUGGAGUUCUAUGUGCAGAAAGGUUACUUUAUGGUUUAUGCGGCUGUCCCUGGGCUUUUGCAUGAGCAGGUGCGCCUUCUAUCAGAUCCAAUUGGAUGCGGCUUAUUACAGGUCAACCAGAGCAGCCUGACAAUCCUGGGGGAAUCACAGCCUUCAAAAAGAUCUGUCAACCACUUCUUCAAUGUUCAUCAUCAUGAGUGUUAGGACAUAAAAUGCACUUGACAGAGUUGGAAUAAUUUGCGGCACAUGUGGUGAGCUAACCUGGAAGGAUUGAUCUGCUUCAGACCAUGGCCGACUCUUUGUUCAAGCCCCUUUUGAGCCACCCAAUAUAUCUGAUGCUAGUUUGAACAUUCAGUAAUGCAUCGGAUUUCUUAAGGAACAUCUCUGGGAAUAUUGCAGUGUGAUGAUCAGAGACCUUGUGGAUGGUGACCAAACAGCCAUGCGUAUUUGCUUUUCAUAUUGGUGUCAGAGGCUUUAAAUGAUGUUGCAAGGAAGGGUUUGUUGGCCAACCGCAUCAGAGGGAGGGAUUGGAUGGUGCCAUUUACGCCCCCUUUUCUAGAUGUUAACAUAAGGUGAACAAAAUUCAGUGAACUGUUUUAGACUUGUCCAUUUGAGGAAACACACCAAGAAGGAUUACCAUUUCUGCAAAGUAACUGGCGAGAGAAGAAACCUUAUGUUUUCCAUACCUAAUGGUGGAAUGUGGUUUGUAAGAAAUGAUUACCCAAUCAAUGGAAAUCUCUUCUUUUUUACACGUAUCCGAAUAUAUGGGUAUGAGAACUCUAUAAAAUAACAACGCUCUUAUUCCUCAGAGUUUAUCAGAACCCAGCACUCAAACCCACAAAAGAGUGGUAAUCGAGCUAGGGAGUUAUAUGAAUUGCUAUUAUGGCAGGGGAGGUGGCAGGAGAUGGCAAUCAGCAAGAGGCUUCCGCUUGAAUUUGAGGCAAUUUACAGUACGCCAGCUGCAAGUAAGGUUAUUUUACCUCAUUAGAUUCUUUUCUAGGUGGAAGUUUCGAUGUGAACAAGCCUCACAUUUGCUGAAGAAAGGCACAGGAAAUAGUUGCAGUAACAAUUGUUACAACAAUUGUACAAAAGGUACUAAACGACGAACUGCAGCAGCAAUGUUGGAGAGUGGACGCUCAAGGUCAUACUACGACUCAUCAAAUUCAUUUUAUUCAGAAUUAGCAAUUCGUGAAUGCCUGGAAUUCAUCAAGAUGAGUACUUCUUCUCUUUCUUCAGAUGAGGAAGCUAUUGACCGGUAGAUCGAUGGCUAAACCGCAUAUCAUUGUUUUAACAUUUGCGUCCAUAUGGUUGUAAUAAUUAAGCCCAAGUGUGUGUAUAUAUAUAUAUACACACACACAAGAGCUUGGAUAGGACUGUGAGCUUCCAGUAGCAUUGCAAGCAAAAUGUAAACCUUUCAUCUCUUUUAUUUAUGUUUCUAUUAAUGAAUUUUACAUGGUUAUGUG